rnacentral:rRNA from 1 species
GGAGAAGCUACUAAGGGCUUUCGGUGAAUGCCUUGGCGCCAAGUGCCGAUGAAGGACGUGGAACACUGCGAUAAGCCUCGGGGAGCCGUGUACAGGCUUUGAUCCGGGGAUGUCCGAAUGAGGAAACUCGUUGCGGCGAACCCGCAACAUCCUCCUACUGAACACAUAGGUGGAGGAAGGGCACCCAGGGAACUGAAACAUCUAAGUACCUGGAGGAAAAGAAAAUAUUCUCCUAGUAGUGGCGAGCGAACGGGGAACAGCCCAAACCGCCCAUGCUUGCAUGGACGGGGUUGUAGGGUCUGGCAUAUGGAAGUUACAAAACAAUCAGUUAGCGGAAAGGUGUGGGAUAGCCUGCCAUAGAGGGUAAUAGCCCCGUAUGCAAAAACUAAUUGUCUUCCGUCAGAUACCUGAGUACUGCCGUGCACGCUAAUACGGCAGGAAUCUGGGGAGUCCACUCUCCAAGGCUAAAUACAUUUGGCGACCGAUAGUGAACAAGUACCGUGAGGGAAAGGUGAAAAGUCCCCCUGUUAGGGGAGUGAAAUAGAACCUGAAACCGAAAGCCUACAAACAGUUGGAGGGCUAACAGUGGGUUGAGCGCUCUAGAAAUAGAGAUGUUCCCCGCUAUGCCUGACAGCGUGCCUCUUGGAGAAUGAGCCUGCGAGUUAAUCUCAGUGGCAAGGUUAAGGGAGUAACACCCGAAGCCGUAGCGAAAGCGAGUCUGAAUAGGGCGUAUAGUCGCUGGGAUUAGGCCCGAAACCGAGUGAGCUACCCAUGGGCAGGGUGAAGCGAGUCUAACCACUCGUGGAGGCCCGAACUUACUAAUGUUGCAAAAUUAGGAGAUGACCUGUGGGUAGAGGUGAUAUGCCAAACGAACUCGGAGAUAGCUGGUUCUCCCCGAAAUAGCUUUAGGGCUAGCGUCAUGCGUUUAAUACUGGAGGUACAGCACUGAAUGGGCUAAGGGGCUUACCGCUUACUGAACCCAAUCAAACUCGGAAUGCCAGUAUUCCAUAGCAUGGCAGUCGGACUACGGGAGAUGAGUUUCGUGGUCGAAAGGGAAACAGCCCAGAUCAUCAGCUAAGGUCCUUAAAUCUACGCUAAGUGGGAAACGAGGUGAGGUUACUUGAACAACCAGGAGGUUGGCUUAGAAGCAGCCACCCUUUAAAAAGUGCGUAACAGCUUACUGGUCUAGUGACCUUGCGCGGAAAACUUAACGGGGCUAAGCGUAGUACCGAAGCUAUGAGUCUUGUCCGCCUUCGGGUGUGACAGGGCAGUAGGGGAGCGUUCCGUCAGCGGUGAAGGUCGAUCGAUAAGGGCGACUGGAGCGGACGGAAGUGAGAAUGCAGGCAUGAGUAGCGUAUAAACACGUGAGAACCGUGUUCGCCGUAAAUCUAAGGUUUCCGACGCCAGGUCAUUCCGCGUCGGGUUAGUCGGGUCCUUAGCCGAGGCCGAGAGGCGUAGGUGAUGGACAUCCGGUCAACAUUCCGGAACCACUCAAAAUGAGUGAUGGGAGGACGCAACGAGGUAGGCCAGCCUGCGAUUGGUUGUGCAGGUGCGAUCCGUCUAGGUGUUGAGACUGGUAGGUAAAUCCGCCGGUUGAGCUGAGGCGAGAGCGAGCCGUAAGGCAUAAGUGGUUGAGCCUUGUUGCCAAGAAAAGUCCCUAAACGUUGAACUUUGAGUGCCCGUACCGCAAUCCGACACUGGUAGAUGGGUAGAGUAUACCAAGGCGAACGGGAGAACCCUCGUUAAGGAACUAGGCAACAUGACCCCGUAACUUCGGGAGAAGGGGUACCUUCUAGCGUUAGGGUAACCAAAGCGCCGGAAGGUCGCAGUGAAAUGGCUCUGGCGACUGUUUAACAAAAACACAGGUCUCUGCUAAGCCGUAAGGCGAUGUAUAGGGG